CAGUCGCCGCGGGAAUACGAAGGAGGCUAGCGUUGCUCGGAAUUACUGGGCGUAAAGCGUGCGCAGGCGGUUCGCUAAGACAGAUGUGAAAUCCCCGGGCUUAACCUGGGAACUGCAUUUGUGACUGGCGGGCUAGAGUAUGGCAGAGGGGGGUAGAAUUCCACGUGUAGCAGUGAAAUGCGUAGAGAUGUGGAGGAAUACCGAUGGCGAAGGCAGCCCCCUGGGCCAAUACUGACGCUCAUGCACGAAAGCGUGGGGAGCAAACAGGAUUAGAUACCCCCGUAGUCCCUGUCUCUUAUAC
rnacentral:rRNA from 1 species